UACAAUAUAAAAUGAAAUGUUUUGGCUCAUUGUAUAACACAUCUAAUAUCUAAAAAACUGGCCCAGAAAAGCCCAACAACAAAUUUUAGAAUUAAAUUAAAAACCAAAAUUGAAAAAAAAAAAAAAAUCAAAACUAACACGCAUCAGAAGGAAAGGCUCCACGUAGUACCCACUCACCUCCUAACUCCUCACCAACUAUACAAGGGGUUUCCAAUCACUCGAACAUGUGAUCAUGAUGAUUUCAAAGAUUGAUGAGAUUUAGCGGUGGAGUAAGUGGUUAUUCCGGGUGGGCGUCGCCAUAUAUGUGACCAUGAUGAUAUAGACGAUGAUGACGUCUAGAGGCGGAGUAAUUGGUUAUUCCGAGCCGCCGCUGCCGCCCUCAUCGGAAUCCGCGGAUCCAGGCGGCUGGAAUGUUGGAGAUAUCAUCUAUUAAUUGUUGAUAACGAAGAUCUCUUUGUGGCGAUGGUUGUUCCGAAGUGGUUAAAUCCCGCUUUCUGUAUAGUACUUUCUUUUUGGUAUUUUUUCCCCCUUUUUUAUAGUUUAGAUCUAGGGAUGUUCAUUAUAAUGAUGUUGCCAGAUCCGCCGCCGCCGUUGCUCCUAGCGGUGAGUUUUACCGGUGGUGGUUACGGAAGUAUUGUUUUUGUAAGUACAUAUCUUGUUGUUCAUCCUGCAUAUUUGUUUGUUGCUACAAA